rnacentral:lncRNA from 1 species
GAAAGAGGAGAAGAAAACCAAGAAGAAAACUGAGCCAGCUGAUACCGACGAGCCAACUGACUCGGACACCAAGUCUGAUGAGGCAGCAGAAGCCCAAGCAGAGGAUGAGUUUACUCCAACCACAUUAAGCAGGCUGAGAAGCAAGCAGCGAAGGCUGCAGCCCGAGCACAAAAGGAAGCCGAGAAGAAGCUCAAGGUAGACAUUGUCAUCUCUCUCUCUCUCUUUCUCUCUCUCUCUCCCUCUCCUAUAGUGGUGUAACAAUGGUGACACUUUUUCAGAAAGAGGAGAAGAAAACCAAGAAGAAAACUGAGCCAGCUGAUACCGACGAGCCAACUGACUCGGACACCAAGUCUGAUGAGGCAGCAGAAGCCCAAGCAGAGGAUGAGUUUACUCCAACCACAUUGAACAAAGAACAGAAGCAGAACGUACGGCCCCGGAAUGUAGUCACCAAGACCAAGGCCCCGCUGCCAAAGGCGAUCCUGAAGAGGAAGAAAGCCCAGUCGUACCGGUCAUGGGCCACCCCAGC